rnacentral:rRNA from 1 species
GCAGCAGUGGGGAAUAUUGCACAAUGGGCGAAAGCCUGAUGCAGCAACGCCGCGUGCGGGAUGAAGGCCUUCGGGUUGUAAACCGCUUUCGCCAGGGGCGAAUACCAGACGGUACCUGGAGAAGAAGCACCGGCUAACUACGUGCCAGCAGCCGCGGUGAUACGUAGGGUGCGAGCGUUGUCCGGAUUUAUUGGGCGUAAAGGGCUCGUAGGUGGUUUGUUGCGUCGGAAGUGAAAACCUGCAGCUUAACUGUGGGCUUGCUUUCGAUACGGGCAGACUUGAGGAAGGUAGGGGAGAACGGAAUUCCUGGUGGAGCGGUGGAAUGCGCAGAUAUCAGGAGGAACACCGGUGGCGAAGGCGGUUCUCUGGACCUUUCCUGACGCUGAGGAGCGAAAGCGUGGGGAGCAAACAGGCUUAGAUACCCUGGUAGUCCACGCCGUAAACGGUGGGCACUAGGUGUGGGGGACAUUCCACGUUCUCCGUGCCGUAGCUAACGCAUUAAGUGCCCGCCU